ACAUUCCUACCCCACCACCCCACGACCGCUCGUCCCUAACCUCUCCCCCGAUCCCCUGUGAUCCACCGCGACAUCGCCUCCUUCCCCUGGAUCCAGCGCCUCUCGCCGCCGUCUCCCCGGCCUCGGCGCGCCUCUCUCCCUCCCCAGAUCGCCUCCCACCGCCUCCUGCUUCUAGCCGCCCCCGCGCCUUCACCCGACAACGCGCCGCCGCCCUGCAUCUCGCCGCCACCGCCGCCCUCCCUGGAUCUCGCCGCCGCGUGCCUCCUCGCCCAGGGCACUGUCCCACCUUCCCCGCCCCAACCCACCCCCUCCCGGCCUGCCAACCUUCUCCCAUCCUCCCUCCCGGCCGGCGGGCCUCCUCCCUCAACAGUGGCACGCCUCGUCCCCCAUCGCCGGUAUUCCUUUCCCAUGGACAUCGUGCCUCCUCUCCCCCACGGCCGGUGAGCCUCCUCCCCCAUGGACGAUCCAUUCUGUCUAUGCGCCGUCCUCCUCCUGGCUGUGUCCCAUCGAGCGCCGCCCCUGCAUCUUGCCACCACCGCAUCGAGCGUCGCAGCACUCAGGUCGUUCGCCACCACCACCUUCGGCCGUUCAACGAUGCAGCAGCAAGACGUUCAAUGCCUCAGCCCCCCUGCGAAUCCCACUGUUGCAGCAAACCGGACGAGGCCCAUAUCUUUCUUCUUCGAUAAGAUAAUUUUGAUUGCAUACCGUGUUAUUUUGCUCUGUCAUUUUGCUGAUGCCUAAAAAGAAGUUAGAUGAUGGGCUUCUGAUCCCUACUAUGGUCUCAAGCUGCCUCCAACCUUUGGCAAUAUUUGUAAAAAUGAUUGUGCAGAUUUUUCGUUACCCCAUUUUUAGUUACUGAUUGAAGAAAAUUUUGUUCAUUAGGUGAAAGAACUUGAUUUCUUUUUUUCCUUUGUGGAGGAAGAAGGUCACCACAGAGGAAGGGAGAAGGUCAGCAUAACGCUAGGGAGAAGGUCACAUAAGGUGCAGAAAGAAUGUCAGAGUUCAGCAACGGGGUGUGUGAUCUUUGUGUUGUUUUUGGGAUGCAAAUCAUGGAGACAGGCCUGUGACGAGCGCCGCCGUUCAUGCUCCUGCGCGCCACCACACCGAGUCUGUGGUCGUCUCCGCUGCUGCCAUUGAACGUGCUCCGCCAUGGACGCCCCCAUGCAUCCACCCGCGUGGUAAGGUGCCGGGUGUGCACUCCCAACACACAAAAACCUGGGCAGACACAUCACCGGGAGCCACCUCCCCCAAUCCCUGCCGCCAUUCCAUGCAGCAUCGUGCACGCGUGCUUAUUGUCUCCGUCUGGCCUGGGCAGCACUUCAGUUAGAUUUUGCCAACCACCAUUUCAGCCGGCCAAUGUGUAUAUUUUCAGCAGGUCAAUUUGCAUAUAUUCAGCAGGCCAAUGUGUU